AAAACUUACUGGUAAUGGGGGAACGUUUCGAAAGGAACGCUAAUACCGCAUACGUCCUACGGGAGAAAGUAGGGGGAUCUUCGGACCUCACGCUAUCAGAUGAGCCUAGGUCGGAUUAGCUAGUUGGUGAGGUAAAGGCUCACCAAGGCGACGAUCCGUAACUGGUCUGAGAGGAUGAUCAGUCACACUGGAACUGAGACACGGUCCAGACUCCUACGGGAGGCAGCAGUGGGGAAUAUUGGACAAUGGGCGAAAGCCUGAUCCAGCCAUGCCGCGUGUGUGAAGAAGGUCUUCGGAUUGUAAAGCACUUUAAGUUGGGAGGAAGGGCAGUAAGUUAAUACCUUGCUGUUUUGACGUUACCAACAGAAUAAGCACCGGCUAACUUCGUGCCAGCAGCCGCGGUAAUACGAAGGGUGCAAGCGUUAAUCGGAAUUACUGGGCGUAAAGCGCGCGUAGGUGGUUCGUUAAGUUGGAUGUGAAAGCCCCGGGCUCAACCUGGGAACUGCAUCCAAAACUGGCGAGCUAGAGUAUGGCAGAGGGUGGUGGAAUUUCCUGUGUAGCGGUGAAAUGCGUAGAUAUAGGAAGGAACACCAGUGAG
rnacentral:rRNA from 2 species